CAUUUGCUGUCACGUUAGCCAACGCUAAUUAGCAACGUUAGUCACUUGCUUGAAACGUGAUUCCAGAGCGACAGCAAGUGGAAGCAAUAAAAGGAAGGAAAAUAUAUCCAGCCUCAGUCACGUCCUUCUCAAAACCAGCCGUGAAGAGAAAGGUUGGUGACGAGCACAGACAAUUUCAGGACAAGUGGGAGACGGAAUAUUUUGUUGUUGAGCACCGCGGCAGCCCGACGUGUUUUAUAUGCACAGAGAAAGUGGCGAUACACAAGGAAUACAUCAGACGUCAUUACACAACUAGACAUGCUGAGGAGGAUGCAAAAUACCAGGGAGAUGACAGAGAGAACCGGGUCGACAGUCUUAAAACAUGUCUACUGAGGCGACAAGACUUCUUCAAGAAAGCAGGAGAUGCUUCGUGAUGCCAUUGUGGAUGCUGGUUUGCCAUGGAAGAGGUUUGCUGGAAUAACAACCGACGGAGCGCCAUCAAUGACAGGGAGGAAAAUGGACUGGUGGUGCUUGUUCAAAGAAAACUGGAAGAGGAGGGUGUGGAGAAGGCCGUUGCUCUGCACUGCAUUAUCCAUCAGCAGGCCCUUUGCAGCAAAUGCCUGAAGUUUGACAAUGUGAUGUCUGUCGUUGUGAAAUGCAUCAACCACAUCAGAUCCAGGGGCUAAAAGCACCAGGAGUUUCACCCCUUUUUGGAAGAAAUACAGUCAACAUAUGAGGAUUUGCUCUACCUCACCGAGCCUUCAAGAACCCUGAAACCUUCACUGUUUCCUUCCCUUAUGACCAUGAAUGUUCCUGGACAGUUCAUCUGUAGUUCUAGUGGCUCAGCUCUUUUAAGUUUCUACAGCGUCUGGCCGGCAGUGAACGACAGACCAGAACAAAGCAAACAGCAGACCGGCCAUGACGAUGACGAUGACGGUGACGGUGACGGUGGUCGGCCUCUUCCAGGCAGCAGCACC
ensembl:lncRNA